rnacentral:misc_RNA from 1 species
GUGAAUCAUCGAAUCUUUGAACGCAAAUUGCACUCCCUGGUAUUCCGGGGAGCAUGCCUGUUUGAGGGUCGUUAGAAUAAAAAAUCGAGGCGUCGCUCUUUUUUUUAAGGGUGAUCGCGUCGCACAUGAGCAGUCUUUCAAAUGUUAAUUUAUGUCAAAGUGGCUUUAAAUUCAUCCAUCCGGUACGAUUAAAGAGUAUUCAAGCA